GAGGCUUUUUGAGCUUGACAAUGAGCCACCCUCAAGGUUGGAAAGGGACAUGAGGCCUCAGUCUGAUGUUGAAGAGGUGGACAUUGAGGAGGUCCAGGGCGAAGACAUGGAAGACAACCAAAGCUUUUGUUUCUAAGCUAUCAUUUUACAGAUGUUAAAAAUACCUUUGGGCGUUGCGAUGGAUCAUUCAAAAUUGUAUUUUAUUCAGGGAAAUCAUCCCAUGUGAAGAGUCUACUCAUUUAAUUAAAGUUCAAUUUGUAACAACUUUUUUUUUUUUUUUCUAUUGGAAGGAUUUAAUCAUUUGCAACGGUCCACUUCAGGUAAAAUGUUUGUCUCCAUAUAUGGUAAAUAUAUCCAAUGCAAAAAAAAUCAACAUUUUUAAAUGGUAUUAAUAUUAAUUCCCAUACUUUACCAUGGGAAGUUACCACCUCUGGAUAUUCCCCAAAAUGUGCAACCCUAACUCCAAUCAAGCUGUAGAAACAUCUCAAGGAUGAUCAAUGGGGCGGCAGGUAGCCUAGUGGUUAGAGCGUUGGAUUACUAACCGAAAGGUUGCAAUAUCGAAUCCCCGGGCUGACAAGGUACAAAUCUGUCUUUCUGCCCCUGAACACUGUUCCUAGGCCGUCAUUGAAAAUAAUAAUUUGUUCUUAACUGACUUUCCUAGUUAAAUAAAGAUACAAUGGAAACAGGAUGCACCUGAGGUAAAUUGAGUCUCAUAGCAAAUGUCUCAAUACUUAUUUAAUUAAGAUAUUUAAGUUUUAUUUGUAAUAGAUUUCUAAACCUGUUUUCACGUAGUCAUUAAGGUGUGUAUAUAAGGGGAAGAAAAUAUUUAAUCCAUUUUUAGAAUAAAGCCGUAAUGUAGCAAAAUGAGGAAAAACGUUAAGUUCUUUGCCACAAAUGACAAAGGGCUGUUAGGUUGGAGACGUAACAAAAGGCUCUUAAGUCCUCACCCGAUUUACCUAAAUGCUCAUUACAACCACCCUGUCAGUGCUUGAUAUCGUUUGUCAUCAUUGGAGACACUCACUUGUCGCAAUUAACCCAUUCAGCUGAAGUGAAAGCGUUCUCUCCUCCCUGUCUCAGAUAUAGAGCAGGGCGAGCGCCUGUCCAGGCUGGUGGAGGAGGCUUGCUUGUUUCUGGCAGACUACAGCGGACGUUUGGCGGCAGAGGUCGAUGACCGGCGGCAGCUCACACGCAUGCUCACCCUGUUUCUACACAGCCAGAGGGAUGGCCUGGCCCAGAACGAGCAGAAACUAGAAGAGUACAAGCGCAAGCUGGCACGGGUGACCCAGGUACGGAAGGAGCUGCGUACUCGUCUCAGCAAUCUACCAGACCUCUCUCUGCUCCCCAGUGUGACCAGUGGACAUUUGCACCUGCCCUCAUCUGGUGUCGAACUUUAUGACCCCACAGCCUGACAGUUCACCUGUGCUUUUCACCCAUGACUGACCACCCACCCUCUGAUUGACAUCUCUCACCAUAUCGUUUAACAUCUGGACUUCAUUGCGCUACUUACUGUUUGACCUAGGCUCUCUCCUAUCUUUCCCCAUGUAGUCAUGUUUAUCAUUGCUCCCUGAUCGACACUGUCCAUGCCUCUCUUACCAGUCAUCAUGUAACCCUCCCUCCUAUUUGCCAAUAAUCUCUCAUCUUUUCACAACGAUAGAUCAUUCGUCUGAUAUAUAAUAUAUAUAGAAUUGAUAUAUCCUAUGCUUUCACAUCUAUUGCUAUUUAUUGAAAAGCAUGACCCAGGUUUUCCAUACAUAAUGAACUCUCUUUCUUCCCCUAUUCUGUUCUUCCUCUGAAUACAUGGAUACAGUGAUUCCCUCUUGGCUUUUACCGACAGUCUUCCCAUGAUAUUCCUUUUCUGUUUUCCCCUCUCUACCUAACCCCAACCUCCCGAAAAUGGUCAGGAAGAUAUUGUUGUGAUAUUAUUUUUGUAUUGACAGGUAUAGUGAAUUUAGAUAGCACCAGAAAUUGUAUACUGAAGUAGUCCCAAUGAAUACAUCCCCUCUGUAUGGUAUCAUUAUAAUCAGCUGCAGUAUUUUAUUACAAAUGAUUAUCUUUGUGUUGUUUUAUAACUGUUCUAAAGUAUUCCCAUUAUGCGGACACAGCUCAUGGGUUUUAGAUCUUGCUCUUGGGUGCUUCACUAAUAGCAGGGAUUGUUGCUGUUUAAGUUCUAUAUCAAUGGCCUUAAAAUAGUUAAGCAUGUUCAGAGAAGUUCUCUUGCCCAGAUUUAAUUGCAAAAUUAAAUAGUUGGGAAAUGUUAGGUUACUGUUAAAAGUAACAGGUUUGAAUAUGUUUCACUUGUUUUGAGAAAAGCUUUUGAGAAAACAGAAACAUGCAUUGUUCAUUGUAAACAUUGUUCUUGAAGCGGAUAACCAAUUUAUUUAUUUUUACCACAUAGACAAAGUUGCAUGUAAAUACUAGGAACCAAUUGGUUUUAUCUUGUAUUGUCGUUAUGGGCUCUCCAAGACCUGCUAGUCAUUCCAAAAAAUCCUUGAGUCUCAUUGCAGAUGCAGCUUUAUAGAAGUUGAAGGUCUCCAUAAUAGUUGAAGCCUUUCCCAUUUUGGAACAAGUGAGUUGAGACAUCAGUGUUGUGUGCUUGUUUACUGUAUUAUUUACUGCCCCUUGGCUUUAACCUCUAGUGACUGUUGUUCAGCCGCCUAUGACAGCUAUGCUCUUUAAAGAACUUGAAGGGGCCCACUGUUUGCAAAACCAUACCUUAUAACUUACUUGACUGAUUUGAAAGUGUUCAUUGAAACACAUUGUUGUAACGCGUUCAGUUCUCAGAACCAAAUAAACAGCAAAACAGAGGAUAAUCUA